CCUACGGGGUGCUGCAGUGGGGAAUAUUGGACAAUGGGGGGAACCCUGAUCCAGCGACGCCGCGUGAGUGAAGAAGUAUUUCGGUAUGUAAAGCUCUAUCAGCAGGGAAGAAAGGAAUGACGGUACCUGACUAAGAAGCCACGGCUAACUACGUGCAAGCAGCCGCGGUAAUACGUGGGGUGCAAGCGUUAUCCGGAUUUACUGGGUGUAAAGGGAGCGUAGACGGUUACGCAAGUCUGCGGUGAAAGGCGGGGGCGCAACCCCCGGAUUGCGUUGGAAACUGUAUGACUAGAGUGCAGGAGAGGUGAGUGGAAUUCCUAGUGUAGCGGUGAAAUGCGUAGAUAUUAGGAGGAACACCAGUGGCGAAGGCGGCUUACUGGACUGCAACUGACGUUGAGGCUCGAAAGCGUGGGGAGCAAACAGGAUUAGAUACCCUAGUAGUC
rnacentral:rRNA from 1 species